GUGUGAAGCUCGAAUGACCUGACCUGUGUUUGCGACGUCAAACUAAAUGUCACUAACCGCCGUCGUACGUCUGGAGACUUGUUUGAAGGUGAGCUUCUGAGUCAGCCACGCCCUGAGGGCCUCACGGAGAUCAUCUGCCCCCAGGGUGGCACUGAGCGGGUGGACGUGGCGCUGGUGUACCCCCCCACGCCCACCGCCGUCAGCCCCUGCUGCAAAUGACCCGCUGGAUUGGAGCCGCAGCAGCCGCCCGUCUACCACUGACUCACCGGCUGGCUUGCUGGCUGACUGGCUGACUGGCUGACUGACUCACCCCUUCCCUGCUUUAUCUCAUCUAAAGCUGCCUCCUGUCACUUUGUGGGAUGAUUUUGACAUUUUUAAGCAGAGACCACCAGGUGUGAGGGGGAUGAGUCUUGAUGAGACGUUUGAAAGUCAAUCCGCUUGUGACGUCACUAGUUGGGGUGGUCCACCUAAUGGAUGUCACAACUGGAUCGAUCUUUAAAUAGCUUGUAAGCGUCACUAGAAUCUUUUCUGUUCACACUUGUGCAAAAACAAGAGCGGUCAAACCAACAGUCCUUUUGGGUCCUACCCUGAACUGAACCAACAGCUGAACCACCAACAUUAGCGCCAACGGUAUCUGUAUCAUCUGUAUCAUGCAUCAGCAUCACUACUUGGUGCAGUGUUCAAUCGCGCAUCAGAAACUCUUUUCCCUCAUCAUGACGCUUCUGAGCCACCUCAUAUCCAUCCGCCUGGAUCCGUUUUUCUGUUCUGUACUUUCCUCUCAUUCACCAAAGUGAAAUGUUCCGCUCUCACGGGGUCCUCAGCAUGUUCAGAACCACAGUAUUGGGAGACCGUACGUCAUUCACGUUUCACACAAUAGCCAAGAAGGAAAAGAUGAACUCUCGUCGGCUCAAGUAAUUCAGUGUUGUUUGUGCACACCUUUCUAACAAUCAUACGGUCUCGAGGGAGAUUCCCAGGUGACGCCCCUCGCUCACACACGUAGGGCUCCAGAAGACGUCCUCCGACGCAACGCCCAGUGGGAACAAGGAAGAAGACGCCUUGGGAAAGAACACCUGGGAUCAGGCUCUCUGAGGCAUGAACAGGAAGGAGUGCACCAGACUGUUGACCUAGUGGCUAUAUUAGUAAGUUGGGUGGGACAACCCGAAAUUCGUUCUGAAUGAGACUGUGGGGGAAAACUUUAAAUAUUGUACUGAGUUGAGUUGUCAUGGUUUCCAAAGAUUCAGGAAGGUUAUCCCCACCCUACUAACCAAUAUGUCUGCCAUGUGAAGAUGGUGUUUAUGGGUGCUGGGCAUCAAAUAAUAGCAAAGUAAAAUCCCACAACCCUUGCCUUCGUGUUUUAUCUGUCUGUCAUCACCUUUAAAUAAAUACAUUAACACUGAAGAAUAAUUAUAAAAAUGAUGAUUGGUGGCCUUAAGUAUUUAGUAAAUUCCGGGGAAUAACUAAUUUCGUAAAAUACAAACUAGCAUCUUAACUAGGAUAUUGUACCCAUUGCAUUUGUACACCACUUCUAUAACAUGGGGAAACCUUUGAAUUGUGUGCCAACAAAGUGUCUGUUAUUUGUACCGAAUAAUAAUGAGAAUGUAUUUAAAAUGAUUUUGUCAAAAAGAAAUAUUUAAGAACUCAGGCAACAGUUAAGAUGAUUAAUGUUUAAUUUCUCGAGUGCCGCAUCACAAUUCUUAGAUUAAUGCACAUUAAAGUGCAGAAUUACAAACAUGCAACGGAACCGACAAACUCCUAAAAAAAGGUUUGAUUGUUCGAUUUUUUUUAUCUCAAAUGUACACUUUUAUCUAAUCAAUCGUGUCAUAUGGAUAAGAUCUUAUUUGGAAGCCAACGGGCUAACAAGGAUAUGCAUGUGCAACUCAGUAAAAUUACAAAUACGGCAUAGUUGUUUUAAUGUCUGUACAGCCCCCAUUAUGGAAAACAAAUGCCUACAGAAUCACUCAUCCAUCUCAUCCACUCGUUUUGUUCAUAUUUAUAAUGCAAUCAUUGUGGCCCGAAUCAGCAAGUCCACACAACUUUACAGUAAAACGUCACGAAGAGAAGCCACCUUGAAGCCAAGGAAAUGUACAUUUCAAUGUCAAAAUCAACCGAUGCAAUAUUUUUACCAUUUGUUUCAUGACCAAUCGUCGUCCACUGUUGCAUAUCUUAUGUAACCAUCGCUAAGUGUACUCCUCUUCAACUGUCCAAAAAGACGAUGAAAUUGUAUUUAAAGAAGAGAUAAUCCUGGUAUGUAAAAAAAUAUGUUUUCAAGGCUUUCCUCUGUAAGUCUUCAUGACACUAUUGUGGUCUUGUAUAGCAAGGUUUGAAUGCAUCAAGUAAGUUUUUUCAGCUGUAUAGAAGAAAAAAUGCUGUUAUUGGAGGGCACUGUUUUUCUGUUGUACAUAAUAUCUUUAUUUUUGUAUUUUGACACACAAUGCUUGGCCCUUAUUUACAGUGCAAUGUGGUGCAUGGCUCACUGAGACAGUGGGAGAGUGCACAGACUGUUUUAUAUGUAGCCAACUAGGACAUCUCCCAAUGCAAUGUUGAAUACCAAAUAUGAAUAAACCCACUACAGGUUUUAAUAUAUGCAUCCGUG
ensembl:lncRNA